CCUCGAGGCUUCGCGCGGACCUGGAGCCCCAGCCUGCAGUCCGGCGCCGUCGCAAGGGGCCUGGCAGACACUGGGCCCCCGAGCCGCGGGCCAGCGUCCUGAGGGGCAUUCAGGACACUUGGCAGGGCCACCCCGGCCGAGCAGCCCCUUUGGAGGGCGUGGACAGAGCCCCCUCGGGCAAGGCCGCAGGGCCCCCAGAGAGCGCGACUGAGGAAAGCGACAUCAACAUCACCAGCGAGGAAGAGGACCCCCAGGAGCAGCCUGCCCAGGGUCCCAGUGGCCCCAGAGAGAAGGACAGCAGUGGCCGCAUCCCUCCGGCUGUCCCAGAGAGCCAGAAGGUGCCACCAGAGGGUCCCUGCUGCUACAUCUGCGGGUCGGCGCUGUCCCCGGCCUCCCAGCACGAGGUCUACGUGCAGAAGCAGGAGCAGCUGCCCCAGGCGCCCUUCUUCCCCUUCCUGUGGUUGCACAGCCCGCCGCCCGGCGCCUGGCCCAUCAGCGAGGCGGGCAGCACGCUUGUGUGUCCCUGCUGCUUCGAGUCCCUCCGGCAGCAGUGGCAGAGCUUCGAGUUGGCCGGGGUGCCGGUCCUGCAGCGCCUCUACGUGGUGCCCCUGAACAGCCGCGCCCCCGGCAUGGCCUCCAAAGGCAGGACCGAGGCCCCGCCCCGGGCAGCCCUGCCUGAGGCCUGCUACCUGUGCGGCGAGGACUGCACCCCUGACGCCCGGGCCGUGCCCUCCCGCAUCCUCAACGGCAGCGCGCGUGGCACCAUGCACUUCCCCUUCCUCAGCCUCCUGCCCUGCCCGCCCAACGCCCAGGCCCCCAACAAGCGCUCUGAGGUCCGCAGCUGCCCCAAGUGCUUCAGCGUCCUGGAGGACGUGUGGGCCCUGUACCGGACUUGCCAGAACCAGGAGCUCAUCACCUCCGUGCAGGGCUUCCUGGGUCGCUACCACCAGGCCUUCUCCGCCUCUGACCCCGCCGUCUGCGACCCGCCCGCCUCGGCGCCUGGUGCCCCAGCUUCCGUGUGCUACAUCUGCGGUGUGGAGCUGGGCCCGGGCAAGGAGUUCCAGCUCAAUGUGAACCCUGCCAGCCGCCUGGGCGAGAAAGAGCCCUUCUUCCCCUUCCUGACGGUGUACCCGCCUGCCCCGCGCGCCAGGCCUGCCGACGCCACCGGCCUGGUGGCCACCUGUGUGCUCUGCUACCACGACCUGCUGAGCCAGUGGCUGCAGCACGAGGCCCAGGGGUCGCACCAUGCGGUCAGUGCCUGGUCCCGGCAGUACCAGGUGGACACCUUCGUGUGCUUCUUCUGCCAGCAGGAGAAGCGGCGCUGCCUGGGGCUGACCACGGUGCGGGUGGCCCGCCUGCCCCUCUUCCUGUACACCCUUCGAGCCAGCCACAGCCUGCUUGUGGACGAUGGGCGGCAGCUGAUCAUUGGUGCCUGCCUGGAGUGUGGGACCCUGGUGUGUGCGGGCCAAGGGCUCACUCGCCCGGGGCCCAUGGGGUGGAGCUCCCCGGUGGCCACAGCAAGAAAGGUCACCUCCGUCUCUCUGGAGUUAUCGGCUGCCAUCCCCCCUCCCGCCCAGGAGCCCGAGCCGUGGCCGGGGCCCGCUGCCACUGCCACCGACAGCCUGCCCAGGGGCUCCAGGCUCGCACCAGAGCCGCAGCCAGUGCAGAGCCAGCCGGGCCACGAUGGGGCCGGACCAGACCACCCAGGCACAGGUCUUCGGAGAGUGACAUUUACAUAUUAAUAUUUUCUGGGAGCCGCGGCGGAGGCAGCAAGUGUCUGCUGCGUGGCCUCACAUAAUGCGAGGGAGAUAAAGCGGCCGCUCCUCGGUGAAUAACGACAAAUGAAAGCCGCGCGGCCGUGAAAGACCCCGCGGUGCCCUGUCAGCAUGUGGUACAUCGCCCGACAACUGCUCGGGCGCCCCUUCCUCCCGGAGGUUUAGCUCUGCUCGCAGAGGACGCGCUCUUUGUCAAGGACUCUGCCUCCCGCCACUUCCUGCCGAGGUCCGACAGGGACGGGGCCACUGGCCUGAAACAC
rnacentral:lncRNA from 1 species